GAUGAAGAACGCAGCGAAAUGCGAUAAGUAAUGUGAAUUGCAGAAUUCAGUGAAUCAUCGAAUCUUUGAACGCACAUUGCGCCCCCUGGUAUUCCCGGGGGCAUGCCUGUCCGAGCGUCAUUACAACCCUCAAGCUCAGCUUGGUGUUGGGCCCCGCCGCCCCGGCGGGCCCUAAAGUCAGUGGCGGUGCCGUCCGGCUCCGAGCGUAGUAAUUCUUCUCGCUCUGGAGGUCCGGUCGUGUGCUCGCCAGCAACCCCCAAUUUUUUUCAGGUUGACCUCGGAUCAGGUAGGGAUACCCGCUGAACUUAAGCAUAUCAAUAAGCGGAGGA
rnacentral:misc_RNA from 1 species